CAUUACCAUAGGCUUGCUUGUGAAUCAAAUCUCCUCCACCAAUGAAAAGAGAAUAAUUAAUACAUGAAUCAAAGGGUCUUUCCAUGGGUUGUAAUGGGGUUUAGGACAAGGUAUGGCAAAAGAUAGGCCGAAUUGUGGCUUAUCAAUUCAAAGGAGUGAUGUCGACCUAGUUGCUUAUCCUUCCAACCUCAUUGCCCUUCAACUCGAUUCAAGAGACUUGAACAAUCAAACACCUCGAAUUUUUUUGAUUUUCUGUUUCUGUUUCUCUUUUUUUUUUCUCAAUCUUUUCUUUGUUUUCUUUUUUUUCUUCUUUUCUUCUUUUUCUUCUUCUCUUUAUUCUUUCUGUUUCAUCAUUUGUUUCUUCAUUUCCUUGUUCCAUUUCUUUUUUUCUUUUCCUUGGGGCUAGGAGUGCAUCCCUCGUAUGCAACUUCAUUUCAUUCACUCAUUUUCAUGUCGAUUUACAAGCAACCAAGCCAACACCAUUCCCUUGACUGGGUUCAAUUACUUCAGGAGAUAAUCAAGAAAGGGGUGAAUCAGCUUAUAACGUGGUUUAACCAGCAAAAGAAAAGCCAAGGCUCAAAUGAGUUUUUCUAUGUGUGAAUUCAAGGUAGGUUGUUUUGAGGUAAUGGGGUAUUCCUAAGUGCCCUUAUCACUUUCAUGCACCAAUCUUACAAGAAUGUGAACUCAAAAUGUAUUACACAAGCAAGUUCUAGAAUGACA